UACGGAGACUACGAGCGUUACUCGGAUUCACUGGGCGUAAAGGGAGCGCAGGCGGAAUGGUGUGUUAGGUGUGAAAUCUCGGGGCUUAACUCCGAAAUUGCGCCUAAAACUAUCAAUCUAGAGUCUUGGAGAGGUAAGCGGAAUUUCCAGUGUAGCGGUAAAAUGCGUAGAUAUUGGAAGGAACACCGAUGGCGAAGGCAGCUUACUGGACAAGAACUGACGCUCAUGCUCGAAAGCGUGGGGAGCGAAAGGG
rnacentral:rRNA from 1 species